CUGUAAGUGAGUCAAUAUUCAGUCUAUUUAUAUGUGCACCAUAUUCAGACGUGGAUGUAGGCAUGUUUUAGCUUUGAACCAACAAGGAUGUGUUGGUUGUAUUAUGUGCAGAUGCAGGCUCGUUAAAAUGUCGUUAAAUCGAAAAAAAUGUUGUUUUCGGGUUGAUAGUUGUUGUAGAAUUUAAGAUUGUUGAAUAGCUCGUGAACUUCAUACGUUGUUCCUCAACUAUCUGACACUUGUAAAAGAAACGGCGGAAGUCGUCUGCUACGCGACUCACUGUGUCAACUAACACCUAUAUAUUUAACUGGGUCAUGCAACCACAGUACUGAACCGUAAUAAAAGACCAAGGAAACUGGUGGUAGUCAUUGAAAAUUCAUGGUAUGCUGCACAAAUGUGUCAAAGGCAAUUAUCCGGACUGACACUGCUGUUCACCGACGAUUGAAGACGCAGUGGAGAGCAAGAAAAAGAGUCACCGACACCCUUGAAAGCUCCAAGCAUCUUAUUUAGUCGAAGUGGCAGCACGUGGUUCGAUUUUAGUAUAGAGCUACCAAUACCACGAGCGCCAGUGUCCCUUUUGGCCUUCGCCUCUUCUUCAUGCGUCAUCACUUGCAAUGGGGAAUUAUUCUAGUCUUGCGCAAUGUUACGAUGCAAAAGACAUGACACAGCUUUAGAAAUCAACAAAUAAAGUUGCUUUGUUAUUUCA